UGGGGGAUAUUGGUCAAUGGGGGAAACCCUGAACCAGCGACGCCGCGUGAGGGAAGACGGUCUUCGGAUUGUAAACCUCUGUUCUCGGGGAAGAAAAUGACGGUACCCGAGGAGAAAGCCACGGCUAACUACGUGCCAGCAGCCGCGGUAAUACGUAGGUGGCGAGCGUUGUCCGGAAUUACUGGGUGUAAAGGGAGCGUAGGCGGGACGUCAAGUCUAGUGUUAAAUACAUCGGCUCAACCGGUGUCCGCGCUAGAAACUGACGUUCUUGAGUGAAGUAGAGGUAGGCGGAAUUCCUAGUGUAGCGGUGGAAUGCGUAGAUAUUAGGAGGAACACCAGUGGCGAAGGCGGCCUACUGGGCUUUAACUGACGCUGAAGCUCGAAAGCGUGGGGAGCAAACA
rnacentral:rRNA from 1 species